AUUGAACGCUGGCGGCAGGCCUAACACAUGCAAGUCGAGCGGUAGAGAGAAGCUUGCUUCUCUUGAGAGCGGCGGACGGGUGAGUAAUGCCUAGGAAUCUGCCUGGUAGUGGGGGAUAACGUUCGGAAACGGACGCUAAUACCGCAUACGUCCUACGGGAGAAAGCAGGGGACCUUCGGGCCUUGCGCUAUCAGAUGAGCCUAGGUCGGAUUAGCUAGUUGGUGAGGUAAUGGCUCACCAAGGCGACGAUCCGUAACUGGUCUGAGAGGAUGAUCAGCCACACUGGGACUGAGACACGGCCCAGACUCCUACGGGAGGCUGCAGUGGGGAAUCUUGCGCAAUGGGCGAAAGCCUGACGCAGCCAUGCCGCGUGAAUGAUGAAGGUCUUAGGAUUGUAAAA
rnacentral:rRNA from 1 species